rnacentral:rRNA from 1 species
GUGGGGAAUAUUGCGCAAUGGGGGAAACCCUGACGCAGCAACGCCGCGUGAGUGAUGAAGGCCUUCGGGUCGUAAAGCUCUGUCAGGUGGAAAGAAGAGGCCGAUUCCGAAUAAGAGUCGGUCUUGACGGUACCACCAAAGGAAGCACCGGCUAACUCCGUGCCAGCAGCCGCGGUAAUACGGAGGGUGCGAGCGUUGUUCGGAAUUAUUGGGCGUAAAGCGCGUGUAGGCGGCCUGUUAAGUCAGUUGUGAAAGACCUUAGCUCAACUAAGGAAUGUCAUCUGAAACUGGCAGGCUUGAGUACGGGAGAGGAGAGUGGAAUUCCCGGUGUAGAGGUGAAAUUCGUAGAUAUCGGGAGGAACACCCGUGGCGAAGGCGACUCUCUGGACCGAUACUGACGCUGAGACGCGAAAGCGUGGGGAGCAAACAGGAUUAGAUACCCGAGUAGUCC